UACGUAGGGUGCAAGCGUUGUUCGGAUUUACUGGGCGUAAAGGGCGCGUAGGCGGCGCGGUAAGUCACUUGUGAAAUCUCUGAGCUUAACUCAGAACGGCCAAGUGAUACUGCAGUGCUAGAGUGCAGAAGGGGCAAUCGGAAUUCUUGGUGUAGCGGUGAAAUGCGUAGAUAUCAAGAGGAACACCUGAGGUGAAGACGGGUUGCUAGGCUGACACUGACGCUGAGGCGCGAAAGCCAGGGGAGCAAACGGG
rnacentral:rRNA from 1 species